AAUGGCCGAAAGCGUUGCCCAUGAGAAACGCUGCAUAAAUUUCCUACGACAGAACUGAAAUUAUUUUGUAUCGAUGUUAAACAGGUCCGGAAAAAAAUGUUCUGAAAGGGGGGGAAGAGCGAACGUUGCGAACGCAGUCGCUUCUACCAAAAGUUGCGAACGCGGGAGACAUGCAGAUGAGCGCGUUCCGCUCGGGGAGCACGGCGGAGGCUGGAGAGGGGCUGGGUUUAAACGUUAUUGUACAGCGGGGAGUUCAGUCUGCGCGGGGACUGGGUUCCGUUUGCGUUCUUUCAGUCUAGCGUAGAAAGCUCUGAAUGAGACGAGCGCGUGCGGAUGUCGGGCACGAGGCAGCAACUCAAACUGAGUACGGCGAGACGGAAUAAGGGCACACUACAUUGGUUGAGAAUGUCCUGUAUCAUGAAAUGAUGUUCCGUAUUACAGUAAUUACUUCGUAAAUGUCAGAUGUAGAUGGAUGCAUUACACUGUACUAAAAGUACCCAAAUUGAAGCAGACCAAAUAUCUUUUCCUAGUUGCCUGCUGAAUGGACAUUCAGGGGAACAAUGUUGAACCGUGCCAGUGGUCAAAGCCGUCAUCUGAAUUAGAAUAGGAUAUUACUAUAUAGAUUUAGAUGGAUUUAAACUAGAACGCGGUCCGGAGGAAGAAAGCGUUCUCGUGAAAUCUUACUGAAAUGAUGAAACGCUGCUGAUUUUCCUGAAAGAGCCAUGUGAGGACCGUGCGACAGGGUGUCAGAGUUUUAAAGAGCAGAGCCGGACGCUGUCCCGUCCCGCGUACCCCUCCUGAAGCUCCACCCCCCUCGCGCUGCUCAGCGAGGGACGCCGGCGGUAUGGCGGGCGGGCCUGAAUUCCGGCGGGGUCCAUUCCCCCUCCCGCGGGGACGCUUGGGGCUCCUGGCGCUCUGGCUGUCGCUCCUGGCCGCUCCGCUCCCGCGCGUCGCGGCCGGCGGGAGCUCCUUCCGCGGCUUCCGGCCCGAGCGGCGGGACUGGCCCUUCAACCACCUGACCGUGCACCGGGCGACGGGCGCGGUCUACGUGGGCGCGGUCAACCGCGUCUACAAGCUCUCGGCCAACCUGACGCUGCUGGUGUCCCACGACACGGGGCCCGAGGCCGACAACAAGGCCUGCUACCCGCCCCAGACCGUGCAGCCCUGCGCCGAGCCCCUGGCCCCCACCGACAACGUCAACAAGAUGCUGCUGGUGGACUACGAGCGGAGCCGCCUGCUGGCCUGCGGGAGCCUGCACCAGGGGGUCUGCCGGCUGCUCCGCCUGGAGGACCUCUUCACCCUCGCCGAGCCGUCCCACCGCAAGGAGCACUACCUGUCCAGCGUGGACCGGACGGGCACCAUGUACGGCGUGCUGGUGCCCCGGCCCGGGCGGGACGCCACGCUGUUCGUGGGCACGGCGGUGGGCGGGAAGCAGGACUACUUCCCCACGCUGUCCAGCCGCAAGCUGCCGCGGGACCCCGAGUCGUCGGCCAUGCUGGACUACGAGAUGCACAGCGACUUCGUCUCCUCGCUGGUGAAGAUCCCGUCGGACACGCUGGCGCUGGUGCCGCGCUUCGACAUCUACUACGUCUACGGCUUCGCCAGCGGCGGCUUCGUCUACUUCCUGACGGUGCAGCCGGAGACGGGCGAGGGCGGGGCGGGCGUGGCGGACGGCGGCGGCGGCGGCGGGGGCGGGGGCGGAGGCGGCGGCGGCGGCGCCGACCUCUUCUACACCUCGCGCGUGGUGCGCCUCUGCGAGGGCGACAACAAGUUCCACUCGUACGCCUCGCUGCCGCUGGGCUGCGCGCGGCGCGGCGUGGAGUACCGCCUCCUGCAGGCCGCGCACCUCGGCAAGCCGGGCCGCGCGCUCGCCGCCGCGCUCAACGUCAGCGCCCGCGACGACGUGCUCUUCGCCGUCUUCUCCAAGGGCCAGAAGCGCUACCACCGGCCGCCCGACGACUCCGCCCUCUGCGCGUUCAGCGUGCGCGAGAUCAACGCGCGCGUGCGCGAGCGGCUGCGCUCCUGCUACCAGGGCGAGGGCCACCUGGAGCUGCACUGGCUGCUGGGAAAGGACGUGCGCUGCACCAAGGCGCCCGUCCCCAUCGAUGACUCCUUCUGUGGGCUGGACAUUAACCAGCCCCUGGGGGGCAGCCAGCUGGUGAGCGGCCUGGUGCUGUACGCGGAGUCCAGGGACCGGCUCAGCGCCGUGUCCUCCUACGUCCACGCCGGCCGCUGCGUGGCCUUCCUGGGCACCCGCAGCGGCCGUCUGAAGAAGAUCCGAGUGGACGGCGCCCCUCAGGGCGGGGUGCUGUACGAGACUCUGUCGGUCUUCAGCGAUGGCAGUCCGGUCCUGCGCGACAUGGCCUUCUCCCUGGACUACAACUUCAUCUACGUCAUGUCCGAGAGAGAGGUUGCGCGCGUCCCCAUCGCGUCCUGUGAGCAGUACGGCACCUGCAGGGAGUGUCUGACCUCGGGCGACCCCCACUGCGGCUGGUGUGUCCUGCACAACAGGUGCUGCAGGAGGGAGCUCUGCGCUCGAGCUGAGGAGCCCUUCCGUUUCGCCGUCGCCGUGGGCCAGUGCGUGAGGAUGAGCGUGUUCCCCGACAGCGUGGCCGUUUCCCAUCCCAGCAUUCCGCUCCUGGUCACCGUCGGCAACGUCCCCGACCUCUCCGCGGGGGUCACCUGCUCUUUUGGGGACCUGAUGGAGGUCGAGGCGCAGGUCAAGGGAACCCAGAUCACCUGCGUGUCUCCGCCCCCCAAGGAGGUGCCCCUCAUCCCCGCUGGCCGAGACUGGUUCAGUGUUGAGCUGAAGCUGAACUCCGUGGAGACGGGCCAGAUGCUGGCCAGCACAGAGGUCAAGUUCUACAACUGCAGCGUGCACCAGCUGUGUCUGUCCUGUGUGAACAGCGCUUUCCGCUGUCACUGGUGCAAGUACCGCCAUGUCUGCACCCACGACCCCAGCAGCUGCUCCUUCCUGGAAGGCCGCGUCAACGCAUCCAAGGACUGCCCCCAGCUGGUGCGCUCGGGCGGGAUCCUGAUCCCGGCGGGGGAGGUCCAGCCCGUGACGCUGCGGGCGCGGAACCUGCCCCAGCCGCAGUCGGGCCAGCGCGGGUACGAGUGCGUCCUGCACAUCCAGGGCCAGCGGCAGCGCGUCACCGCCCUGCGCUUCAACAGCACCAGCGUGCAGUGCCAGAACACCUCGUACAUUUAUGAGGGGAUGAAGAUCAGUGAUCUCCUGGUGGACUUCUCUGUGGUCUGGAAUGGCAAUUUCGUCAUUGACAAUCCGGAGAGAGUUAAAGUGCACCUGUACAAGUGCGCGGCGCAGCGGGAGAGCUGCGGGGCGUGUCUGAAGGCCGACAGGAAGUACCGCUGCGGGUGGUGCAGCGGGGACGGCGGGGAGGGCCGCUGCACGCUGCGCCAACACUGCCCGCUGCCCGCCGCCGCCAACCGCUGGCUGGACCCGUCCGACAGGAGCGUCAAGUGCAUCAACCCCCACAUCACUCAGGUGACGCCACUGGCCGGUCCUCCGGAAGGGGGCACUCUGGUGACGAUUCGGGGGGUGAACCUGGGGCUGUCCCUCUCCGAGGUGGUGGGGAACGUCCAGGUGGCGGGGGUCCGGUGCGCCCCCCUGGAGGACUCCUACGUCGUCGCCGAACAGAUCGUGUGUGAGAUGGAGGCCGCUCCGCUGCAGAGCAGGCCCGGCCCGGUGCAGCUGUGUGUCGGGGAGUGCCGCCCAGAACUCCGCGCUCGGUCCUCCCAGCUCUUCUCCUUCAUGACGCCAGCAGUGAAAGGGCUGUCCCCCGGCCGAGGCCCAGAGUCGGGGGGCACGAAGGUGACCAUCCUGGGGGAGAACCUGGCGGCGGGGAGUAACGCGGAGGUCAAGUUCGGAAAUCAGACCUGCGAGUUCUACGGGCGGACCGCGACGGAGAUUAUCUGCGUCUCCGCCCCCUCCCUGACCGGUUUGGGCCCGGUGCCGGUCUGGGUUCGAGUGGACCGGGCCCAGCUGAAGGGGAACCUGGCCUUCAGGUACAUCGAGGACCCCACUGUCCAGCGCAUCGAGCCGGAGUGGAGCAUCACCAGUGGCCACACCCCUCUGACCGUCACCGGUACCAACUUAGACGUGGUGCAGGAGCCGCGGAUCAGGGUGAAAUACGGCGGCAGGGAGUCCGUCAGCGUGUGUAAGGUGCUGAACACCUCCACGCUCAGCUGCUAUGCCCCGCCCCUGGGGACGGAUUACCUGGCGGGGGCGGAGUCUCUCAGGCACGCGGACGAGCUGGGCUUCAUCUUUAACAACGUGCAGGCCCUGCUCACCUACAACAGCACCAGCUUCAUAUACUACCCCAACCCCGCCUUCGAGCCCCUCAGCGCCUCCGGGGUCCUGGAGCAGAAGCCUGGCUCCCCUGUGAUCCUGAAGGGCAGGAAUCUGGUGCCCCCAGCGUUGGGCGGGGCCAGGCUUAAUUACACGGUGCUGAUUGGGGACACGCCCUGCUCGUUAACUGUCUCCGAGACACAGCUGCUGUGUGAGCCGCCCAACCUCACCGGCCAGCACAAAGUCCUGGUCCAGGUGGGCGGGCUCCACGUCUCCCCCGGCACGGUGAGCUUCCAGUCGGACAGCCCGCUGACCCUGCCCGCCAUCGUCAGCAUGGCGGUGGGCGGCGGCCUCCUCUUCGUCAGCGUCGCCCUCGUCCUCCUCGCCUACAGGCGCAAGUCCCGGCAGAACGACCUCACGCUCAAGCGGCUGCAGAUGCAGAUGGACUCGCUGGAGUCCCGCGUGGCGCUGGAGUGCAAGGAAGCCUUCGCCGAGCUCCAGACGGACAUCAACGAGCUGACCAGCGACCUGGACCGUGCAGGUAUCCCUCACCUGGACUACCGCACCUACGCCAUGCGCGUGCUCUUCCCCGGGAUCGAGGACCACCCAGUGCUGAGGGAGCUGGAGGUGUCGGGGAACAGGCAGGCGUCGGUGGAGAAAGCCCUGCGGCUGUUCGCUCAGCUCCUCAACAACAAGGUGUUCCUGCUGUCCUUCAUCCGCACGCUGGAGCUGCAGCGCUCCUUCUCCAUGCGCGACCGCGGCAACGUGGCCUCGCUCAUCAUGACCGCGCUGCAGGGCCGGCUGGAGUACGCCACCGACAUCCUCAAGCACCUGCUCUCCGACCUCAUCAACCGCAACCUGGAGAGCAAGAACCACCCCAAGCUGCUGCUGCGCAGAACAGAAUCUGUCGCCGAGAAGAUGCUGACGAACUGGUUCACAUUCCUGCUCCACAAAUUCCUGAAGGAGUGUGUUGGGGAGCCCCUGUUCAUGCUGUACUGUGCCAUUAAGCAGCAGAUGGAGAAGGGCCCCAUAGACUCCAUCACUGGAGAGGCCCGCUACUCCCUGAGCGAGGACAAGCUCAUCCGCCAGCAACUCGACUACAAAACUUUGACCCUGCGCUGUGUGAGCCCCGAAAACGAGAACAGCCCGGAGGUCCCGGUGAAGGUGCUCAACUGUGACACGGUGACCCAGGUGAAGGAGAAGAUCCUGGACGCCGUGUACAAGAACGUGCCCUUCUCCCAGAGACCCAGAGCCGUCAACAUGGACCUGGAGUGGCGACAGGGCCAGUUGGGGCGUGUGGUGCUGCAGGAUGAGGACAUCACCACAAAGAUCGACAACGACUGGAAACGACUCAACACCCUCAUGCACUACCAGGUUUCGGACUGCUCCGUGGUGGCCUUGGUGCCCAAGCAAACGUCCUCCUACAACGUCCCGCCGCUGGCUAGCAUCCCGCGCACCAUCAGCAGAUAUGAUUUGGCGCUGCGCUACGCCUCCGGCAGUCCCGACAGCUUGCGUUCGCGCGCCCCCAUGAUCACGCCCGACCUGGAGAGCGGGGUCAGGGUGUGGCACCUGGUGAAGAACCACGAGCACGGCGACCAGAAGGAGGGCGACCGCGGCAGCAAGAUGGUGUCCGAGAUCUACCUGACCAGGCUGCUGGCCACCAAGGGCACGCUGCAGAAGUUUGUGGACGACCUGUUCGAGACUCUCUUCAGCACGGCCCAUCGCGGCAGCGCCCUCCCCCUCGCCAUCAAGUACAUGUUCGACUUCCUGGACGAGCAGGCGGACAAGCACGGCAUCCACGACGUGGACGUGCGCCACACGUGGAAGAGCAACUGCCUCCCGCUGAGGUUCUGGGUGAACGUGAUCAAGAACCCGCAGUUCGUCUUCGACAUCCACAAGAGCAGCAUCACGGACGCCUGCCUGUCGGUGGUGGCCCAGACCUUCAUGGAUUCCUGCUCCACCUCCGAGCACCGGCUGGGCAAGGACUCGCCCUCCAACAAGCUGCUCUACGCCAAGGACAUCCCCAACUACAAGAGCUGGGUGGAGAGGUAUUAUGCGGACAUCAGCCGCCUGCCGGCCAUCAGUGACCAGGACAUGAACGCGUACCUGGCCGAGCAGGCCCGGCUGCACUCGUCCGAGUUCAACAUGCUGAGCGCGCUCCACGAGAUCUACUCCUACGUCAGCAAGUACAGCCAGGAGAUCUUGGCGGCGCUGGAGCAGGAUGAGCAGGCCAGGAAGCAGCGGCUGGCCCAGAAGCUGGACCAGCUGAUCGGGGCCAUGUCCCUGGAGAGCUGAGAGAGAGAGAGAGAGAGGGAGGGAGAGGGAGAGAAAGGGAGGAAGAGAGGAAGAGGGAAAGAGGAAGUGAACCUAGGGCAUGGGCCACACCGAGCAAGCUGAGAGACGCUGAGAAACAGACGGGGUCGCCCCUGCUUCUCUGAAGACCUGUCUGACCGUCUGACUUUGAAACGCUGAACCGUUUCUAAAAGAUGGCCGCUCCGGGCUCUGCUUCGUGAGCUCUGCGGGGCAUCUGCGGUCGUUGCCAUGGAGACGAGGGCACCGGAGGAGAGAGAGAGAGAGAGAGAGAUGCGGAACAGGCUUCCAGAGGAGUCACAUGAUGUCCUCUCUUGGACAGUUUAGGGCCUGGAGCGGCUGUCUGCAGAACUCCUGACGACCAGACGAGGGGGAUGGGACGCGGGACCUCUGAUCUCUCUGAGGGAACCUCAGUCUUCACAGAAAUAUUUCAACAGUAUUUCAUGCUGAAUUCUUUUUUUUUUGUUUUUUUCUUUCUUCUAAAUAUCUUAUUCUCAGCCGCAGCUGCAGUGGGGCUCACCCCGAGCUGAGAAGUGUCACAGCGCUGUGGGUGUGAAGCCCCUCGAGGAGUUCUAUCUCUGUGUCUGCCCACUAUAGCAGCAUGACUGCAUAAAUUCAAGUGUACAUUAAUCAGCGUGAGACCUCCUAUAAAGUUGUUUGGAAAGAUCUUGGAAAGGAUCACACCUCCACCUAAAAUAAUUCCUGGAAGGGGGGCCAAUUUCGAGGCGUGGAUUUGGAUGCAUUGUUCUCCUUCCCUCUGUGCUCCAAGCCAGCCUUCUGGGGAGUAGGGCACACUUGAAAGCACUCCUUUAACCCUUUUUGAGGUGUGAGGUCACAGACAUGUGAUUGGAAUGUUCUUAACUGAACAUUCUAACGCUGACGUGCGUAACAAUCGCUGCUGGCGACAGAAACGACGGAGUUCUAGAACACUGAAGACUUAGGAUGUCGAAAAAAACAUUCCUAAAAGUCCUGCUCUUCAAAGGCUUAAAACAAGCCUAUUGGGAUGUGAAGGGUGCAGAGGACUGAUCGGGGGUAUCUGACACGCGUCCACUGUGGGGUGCCUCUGCUACAGGCCACAGGCAGAGUGCCCCCCUCUCUGCUUAAAAUGUUAUUUGAUGAGGGGGGAACUCACCUCAGCCACCACCAACGUGUAGUACCCACCCAAGUGAUGCACGGCAGCCAUUUUGCACCAGAACUCUGAUCGUACAUUGGCUGUGGUGGAGAGAGAGAGAGGGAAUGAUUUGCCAGUUAAACUGGAGGAAGAUUAAGUGAUGGGUUGUGAAAACCAGGGUUUUGAAUUUAACCAGGUGUACUGAGAGAGUGUCAGACUAGUAGUUCACACGGAUGCGCACAGCAAGAAAUGUUCAUUUCAGCAACCAGAUGCCACCGGACACCGCAUGCCUGGUCAUUCAAGCACUCGACAAGCUGGGCUGGCUUUGGCAUGUGCGCUUUAAUACAUAACUCACCCGUAGUUCGUGGUUAACCUCACAGACGAUACUCAAAACUAGUUGAAUGUACAUUUGCGUCAAAGACAUAUUCAUGAAGGCGAUAUUGGUGGGAGAAUUAAUUUUUAAAGGUGUUUGUAUCCUGAUUUUGGGUUUACGGAUUCUCACGGCAGUUGGUAUGCAGUUAUUAUAAUUCAUAUGUCCUGUUCCGUCCCGUCCUCACUGUUUCACCCUCUGCCAAGCGGAAUAUGAUUAAACCAGUCAAAGGUCCUGGGGAUGUGGGUCUUUUUGACGGUGUUUGAACAGUGUUUUUAUUGAGGGAGAAAGAAGCGAUCUUUUAACUCUGCUUUUUUUUGAAAAUCCCUCUUAGAAACAUGAGGAUAUGCAGUAGGUGGGAUGAAAACCUGCAUACCUUUCCAUCAGUCUCUGUGCGCAACCUUUCAAUGCCUUCUGCCUCUCUCUUUCUCUCUCUCUCUCUCUCCUCUCUCAUCUUCCUCCUCUCUAACACUGAGGAGGAUGGAGACGAACCGUCAGCCCGUCACUCUGAAUAUACCUCCUCUCCGCGUUUCACUUCAAAACUUUUCACUUUAAAACUUGAGAUUCUGACGUGAUUUAAAAUCACAGAAUGUUUAACAUUGAUUUCCAGUUUUCAAAAAAAAAAAAAAACAUGGCAUGCUAUUAGUAUUCAUAGUAGAAACUGGAAGUAAAUACAAAUAACCAAGAUGAUGUUCCAUGAUGUCUGUUUUUGUUUUAUACUGGACGUGUUGUGAAAGUUGUAAGAAACUGAAAGUAUUUUAAUAUUUAUUUUGCUUUUUAUGACAACACAUUGUGUACCUAUUGUAAAUAUUGUAUGAAGUAUGCUCAUUUUGAAAGCCAGGGAUUUACUGUGUGUUGUUGUUGUAUAUGAAUAAAUUUUUACUGGUUAAAAAUAAAAGUACAGCCAAAAUUGUGGAGAGGUGUAUGCGACUCGACAGGUGGCGAGAGGUACAAACCAUAUGCAAAAUAGGAGGUAUCAGAGAUUUUUUUCUUUAUUAUUUAAUGCUGUGAUGCCUACAUUGAAAGCAAAACCGGAGGCAAACAAACAUGCCCUCAAUGUCUUGCUUAUUGCUGUUCAGUGAGCCGAAACAGAAUUUGAUAUGGCGUCCUCCAAGAAGAGGGUGAAGAGCACAUUGGGUGACAUAUCUGUUUUUUAAAUCUAUCUUGGGACUGGACUGUGGCCACUAAAGAGAGAGAGAGAAUAGAUGGAAUAGCUGACCCAAAAGACCUGUUGAUAAAUGUCUAUGAAUAUAAUUGGAAAUAUAGUGCCUGCGGCAACGACAUGUUUAUCGCUGCACGAUUCACGGAUAACGAGUGAUGUAGGGAUCUACCAAAAGCCUGAGGGAUCUAGCUCAUUGUGUGGACAGCGGGCGUCAGAAUGUAGGUCCUGGCAGAGUCGCAGUGUUUACUGGCUUUUAAUGUGCAUCAGCUGCAGGGAUUCAUUUAGUAAUUGAGCAGGAAAAAGACAUCAGUCAUAUCAGUGAAUACCAGCGCGUGGACUUGAUAAUGGUACGCUCAGUCAUAGCAUACAGUGGCAGAGGUGUGUUUACCUUAGAGAGGCAGAAAGAGGAGUGUGUGUGCAAGACUUGCCUUUUGUCUAUAGUGAGUACACUGUAGGGGUGUACUGCUUCCAAACCCACUGAUUUCGCUCUUCCGUCCUUGAAAAAGUGGUCUGAGAGCGCCAUCUAAUGGUGUACUCUGUUGUUACAGCUUUCGGAACAUCCUUGACAUAUUUGAACUUAAUAAAACGGAUAGUUUUCUCUCUCAGGAUAACAUCAUAAAUGUUAUAUAUGAUGCCAUAUAGCUAAAAAAAUAUAUAAAUAUUGACAAUGGCCCAGUAAAACUCAAUGUCUCAUGUUCACUUCAAUGGGGAAGAAGCAAAAUGAGGCUUGCCGUUCUUGUCAUCAAAAAUUCUUUUAUCAGAGUAGAAGUGUAGCCAUAAAACGUGACACUGCAAAAUAAGGCAGUUUUGUAUUGUUUGUAUUAUUGUUAAUGUACAUAGUUAUGUGAAGUAUCAAGUACAUAUUUCACACAACAAGGUGUAAUUUACAACAAUACAAUGCAGAAAACCUCUGAGCCAGGGGAGGAAUCUGGAAGUAUUUCACACAUUUAAUGAGCAUUAAAAAGUCACACAACCGUG